rnacentral:snRNA from 1 species
UUGAGAGACUAUGUGUAUAU